CCUUCGAUAGCUCAGCUGGAAGAGCGUGGGACUGUAAUGGUUAAAUGCUUGUCAUCCCAAGGUCACUGGUUCGAUCCCGGUUCGAAGGA
rnacentral:tRNA from 1 species